rnacentral:rRNA from 1 species
CACGGGGGGCGCAAGCGUUGUUCGGAAUCACUGGGCGUAAAGGGCGUGUAGGCGGUCAGGUAAGUGAGAUGUGAAAUGCCCCGGCUCACCCGGGGACCGGCAUCUCAUACUGCUUGGCUUGAGUACGGGAGAGGAUGUGGGAAUUCCUGGUGUAGCGGUGAAAUGCGUAGAUAUCAGGAGGAACACCGGUGGCGAAGGCGCACAUCUGGCCCGAUACUGACGCUGAGGCGCGAAAGCUAGGGGAGCAAACGGG